rnacentral:rRNA from 1 species
GGGUAACGGGGAAGCUUGCUUCCGCCGACGACCGGCGCACGGGUGCGUAACGCGUAUACAAUCUACCUUAUACUGGGGUAUAGCCUUUAGAAAUGAAGAUUAACCCCCCAUAGUCUCUUAGAGUGGCAUCACUUCUAGAGUAAAGGUUACGGUAUAAGAUGAGUAUGCGUUCUAUUAGUUUGUUGGUGUGGUAACGGCACACCAAGACUACGAUAGAUAGGGGCCCUGAGAGGGGGAUCCCCCACACUGGUACUGAGACACGGACCAGACUCCUACGGGAGGCAGCAGUGAGGAAUAUUGGACAAUGGAGGCAACUCUGAUCCAGCCAUGCCGCGUGCAGGAAGACUGCCCUAUGGGUUGUAAACUGCUUUUAUACAGGAAGAAACACCUCUACGUGUAGAGGCUUGACGGUACUGUAAGAAUAAGGAUCGGCUAACUCCGUGCCAGCAGCCGCGGUAAUACGGAGGAUCCAAGCGUUAUCCGGAAUCAUUGGGUUUAAAGGGUCCGUAGGUGGAUAAUUAAGUCAGAGGUGAAAUCUUGCAGCUCAACUGUAAAAUUGCCUUUGAAACUGGUUAUCUUGAGUUAUUAUGAAGUAGUUAGAAUAUGUAGUGUAGCGGUGAAAUGCAUAGAUAUUACAUAGAAUACCAAUUGCGAAGGCAGAUUACUAAUAAUCAACUGACACUGAUGGACGAAAGCGUGGGUAGCGAACAGGAUUAGAUACCCUGGUAGUCCACGCCGUAAACGAUGGUUACUAGCUGUUUGGACUUCGGUCUGAGUGGCUAAGCGAAAGUGAUAAGUAACCCACCUGGGGAGUACGUUCGCAAGAAUGAAACUCAAAGGAAUUGACGGGGGCCCGCACAAGCGGUGGAGCAUGUGGUUUAAUUCGAUGAUACGCGAGGAACCUUACCAGGGCUUAAAUGUAAGUUGCAUUAGUUAGAGAUAGCUAUUUCUUCGGACCACUUACAAGGUGCUGCAUGGUUGUCGUCAGCUCGUGCCGUGAGGUGUCAGGUUAAGUCCUAUAACGAGCGCAACCCCUGUUGUUAGUUGCCAGCGAGUCAUGUCGGGAACUCUAGCAAGACUGCCAGUGCAAACUGUGAGGAAGGUGGGGAUGACGUCAAAUCAUCACGGCCCUUACGUCCUGGGCUACACACGUGCUACAAUGGUAGGUACAGAGAGCAGCCACUGCGCGAGCAGGAGCGAAUCUACAAAACCUAUCACAGUUCGGAUCGGAGUCUGCAACUCGACUCCGUGAAGCUGGAAUCGCUAGUAAUCGGAUAUCAGCCAUGAUCCGGUGAAUACGUUCCCGGGCCUUGUACACACCGCCCGUCAAGCCAUGGAAGUUGGAAGUGCCUGAAGUCCGUCACCGCAAGGAGCGGCCUAGGGUAAAG